UACAGAGGGUGCAAGCGUUAAUCGGAAUUACUGGGCGUAAAGCGUGCGUAGACGGUUAUGUAAGUCAGAUGUGAAAGCCCAGGGCUCAACCUUGGAAUUGCAUUUGAGACUGCAUAGCUAGGGUGCGGAAGAGGGAAGCGGAAUUUCCGGUGUAGCGGUGAAAUGCGUAGAUAUCGGAAGGAACGCCGGUGGCGAAAGCGGUCUGCUGGACCUCUUCUGACGCUGAGGCGCGAAAGCCAGGGGAGCAAACGGG
rnacentral:rRNA from 1 species